GAUGAAGAACGCAGCGAAAUGCGAUAAGUAAUGCGAAUUGCAGAAUUCCGUGAGUCAUCGAAUCUUUGAACGCACAUUGCGCCCCUUGGUAUUCCGAGGGGCAUGCCUGUUCGAGCGUCAUUAUAACCCCUCAAGCUCAGCUUGGUGUUGGGGCCUGCUGCACUGGCAGCCCUUAAAAUCAGUGGCGGCGCCAUCUGGCUCUAAGCGUAGUAAUUCUUCUCGCUAUGGAGUCCUGGUGGAUGCUUGCCAUCAACCCCCAAUUUUUCUAUGGUUGACCUCGGAUCAGGUAGGGAUACCCGCUGAACUUAAGCAUAUCAAUAAGCGGAGGA
rnacentral:misc_RNA from 1 species